rnacentral:rRNA from 1 species
GACGAACGCUGGCGGCGUGCUUAACACAUGCAAGUCGAACGGAAAGGCCCUGCUUUUGUGGGGUGCUCGAGUGGCGAACGGGUGAGUAACACGUGAGUAACCUGCCCUUGACUUUGGGAUAACUUCAGGAAACUGGGGCUAAUACCGGAUAGGAGCUCCUGCUGCAUGGUGGGUGUUGGAAAGUUUCGGCGGUUGGGGAUGGACUCGCGGCUUAUCAGCUUGUUGGUGGGGUAGUGGCUUACCAAGGCUUUGACGGGUAGCCGGCCUGAGAGGGUGACCGGCAACAUUGGGACUGAGAUACGGCCCAGACUCCUACGGGAGGCAGCAGUGGGGAAUAUUGCACAAUGGGCGGGAGCCUGAUGCAGCAACGCCGCGUGCGGGAUGACGGCCUUCGGGUUGUAAACCGCUUUCGCCUGUGACGAAGCGUGAGUGACGGUAAUGGGUAAAGAAGCACCGGCUAACUACGUG